GUAAGUGAUGUCAAAUAUGAAUAGAUGAAUUUCCUCGAUAAGUAGUAUUGAAUACAUGAAAGAAUGAAUUUAUGAUUUGUGAAUUUUUGCUCUUCUAAACAUGUUUGCUCCAAUGUCUCUUGUCAGCAGAUGGGUUUGUGAGAAGAGAUUAAAACUGCUCAAGGAGCACAUCCAGAGUUUGUACUCUGCAAUGGGGACAAUAAUUUUGUUCUGAUUUCUGGUAUACUACCUUGCUUGGAUGACUAAUAUCCUAUGACACCGUCCUUGAACUGAUGCAGACUCUCCUGCUUCAUGUUGAACCAGCUCAGCAUGGUUUUCUGAGUAGGGUUAAUUUAUUGCUGAAGAAUAAUAACCUGGGUAUGCUGACUAAUACAAAUUCUAGUGGUCACAGCUGCCUACAGCACUGAAGUAACACGUGGCAGGUAAUCUGGCGGUUGCUGCAAAAUUUCAUACCUGCCAAAACUAAUGUAUGUGCCUGUUGCUGCAAAAAGAAUAACAGCCUCUGCUUCCCUCGGCCUUCCAAACUGUGUAUGAGUACCUCUCACUGGCAGAAAUAAAUUGGGACUCAAUUCGCAGGAAAUUCUGGGAAAUAGUUUCAAGGCUUCUAGUCCCUGCUAUAUGGGGGUACAAAGAAAACAGGCAAGAUGGUGCUGAGUACCAACAGACAAUCUGAAAGAAUAUAUAUUCUAGACAAAAACAGAAACUAAAAGAUAUAACUGUAAAACAAGAAACGAUAAAGAAUGACAAAAGAUUUUCAAUAAGAGAAAAAAUAUAGAGAAAUUUAAAAACAUAAGAAUUGAAAUGGAAAAAUCAUGGCUAGAUGAAAGGGCAGAUUAGAUAUAGCUAAAGGAAUCAUUAUUGAACGGGAAGACAGUGUAAAAACUAUAUCCAAAAUUCAACUCAGAGAGACAGUCAUUGAAUAUGUGAAGUUAAGAGGAUAGAAUGAGAAGGACUAAUACAUGUUCUUUCGAGUUUCCAGAUGAAGAUGAGUUAGAAAAGAAAAUCGAUCCUAAAAAUAGUAUUUGUUGAGACUUCCCUGAUGACUCAAAUGUUGAAAGAAACCAGUUGAAAGAACCCAGUUCUUAAAUUCAAGAAGCCCAAAUAAUCCCCAAACUAUAAAAUAUAAGGAAAUCCAUAACUAGGCCCACUGUGAUAAAAUUUCAGAACACUAUAUACCAAAAACAAACAAAAAAGAUCUUAAAAACAGCCAGAGAGAAAAGAAAGAUCAGGGGCUCC
rnacentral:lncRNA from 1 species